rnacentral:rRNA from 1 species
AACGAACGCUGGCGGCAUGCCUAACACAUGCAAGUCGAACGAAGCCUUCGGGCUUAGUGGCGCACGGGUGCGUAACGCGUGGGAAUCUGCCCUUGGGUUCGGAAUAACAGUUAGAAAUGACUGCUAAUACCGGAUGAUGUCUUCGGACCAAAGAUUUAUCGCCCAAGGAUGAGCCCGCGUAGGAUUAGGUAGUUGGUGGGGUAAUGGCCCACCAAGCCGACGAUCCUUAGCUGGUCUGAGGGGAUGAUCAGCCACACUGGGACUGAGACACGGCCCAGACUCCUACGGGAGGCAGCAGUGGGGAAUAUUGGACAAUGGGCGAAAGCCUGAUCCAGCAAUGCCGCGUGAGUGAUGAAGGCCUUAGGGUUGUAAAGCUCUUUUACCAGGGAUGAUAAUGACAGUACCUGGAGAAUAAGCUCCGGCUAACUCCGUG